GUGGGGGCUGCGUUGCCGCUCAGGCUCCAGGUUUUAUCAGAACGCGUGUCUGUGUGGGGGAGAGGCUGAUGGAAAUGGUGAUGUUGAGGGUCCCCACUCCUCCCCAAGCCAGCCUUGGCGGCCCGGGCUCCUCCUCCCGCCCACCCAGCACAGCAGGGGCGUGUCCUUUGCAAAGUCCAGAGCUCCAAAUGGGUGGACAUAUGGCGAUUUCAUCAUCCUGGCUCUCCUUCCCAAACCUUCUCUGCUGCUCCAGCUCGCCACGGGGGCCCCCACUCGCCACGGAGGCUGCGGGCCAUGUGGCUUUAUAAUUAGCAGCCCUUCUGGGCGCCAGGAAGCCAGCCUGAGCCCCAUGGCCACCACCCCGCUGGCCCACCGGCGCCACCGAGUCUGAGCUGCUCUAGGGAAGGGUGAGCGUGGAAAAGCCACUGCCCCGGAAACUGAGUUCUCAACAAUGCACGUCACCCUCACCCACCACCGUACGGCCUGGCGGGCCGGGCCGGCUCCUGGCCACUGGGACCCCGCGGACGGACGCCUGGAGAGCAGCGCUGGGGGCUGGAGAGGUCAGAGUGCAGGAUUCCCUGAGGCCCCGGGGAGUGACGGCUGCAGGCCGUGGAGCCAGCGGUGUGUCCGGCCUCCACGCUGCUCAGACGGCCCGGCCGAGGCGGCAGUGAGGCGGCCUGAGCUGGCCGCGCUGCCUGGUCCUCAGCCUGGGGAAGGGGUUGCUCUAAGGGCGCCCCACCUUCCUUUGGUCAAGGGAGGGAAGGUCGGAGCGGCUUCCCUGGGAAGUGAUGGAGGUGAAGGAGGGAAGGGGCUGGUUGUCCCUGGUCUCUGGCCACGAGGCCGGGGCUGGAGCACCAAACUGUGCCAAGUUCUCGAGGACCUGGCCCCCACCCCAGGGGGGGCGGGGAGGUGCACCAGAAUGUCCAGGGGCGGAGAGGGUGCCACAGAGAACACCUGUGGGGAGCUCUGCACACACCCUAACGGCCCCUGGCAGAGCUGCCCCAGGUGAGAGCGGGACGGAGACAAAAAUCACAGCUUCUGGAGGAGUGGCUGGGAAGGGACUGGAACACUCAUCGAGUAUGAGGGGUGUUCCUUUUACAGAACCGACACUAGCUUAUGUAUCUCUGGAACAUGUUCUCUUUCACACACGCCCCACCCGACCCCCCAGAGGCAGCUGGGCCUUGCUUCCGUGACUGCCAAGCGAGGGCGGGAGGCUAUGGGAGCAGAGCAGGGCUGUGUGCUGGGGCUGAGGUGGCAGAAGGCACAAGAACCGAGUCCGGGACAUGGGGAGGCAGCCAGGAGCAUCGCUCAGCUUAGGAAUAAACCAGAUCCGGUCACUCCUGUCCACACAGGCCCAGUGCCCGGCAGCUGCCAGGGGGGCACCGGGAGUGGUCAUGGGGCGCCGAGUGCUGCCCAGCCAGAGCGGGAGGCAGGCGGGGAGGCCAGCUGAGUGUGUGAAGGCAUGGGGCUGUCAGACGGAGGAGGAGGCAAGAAAGAAGGCCGCCUCUAACGAUAUA